rnacentral:rRNA from 1 species
AACGCUAGCUACAGGCUUAACACAUGCAAGUCGAGGGGCAGCAUGGUCUUAGCUUGCUAAGGCCGAUGGCGACCGGCGCACGGGUGAGUAACACGUAUCCAACCUGCCGUCUACUCUUGGACAGCCUUCUGAAAGGAAGAUUAAUACAAGAUGGCAUCAUGAGUCCGCAUGUUCACAUGAUUAAAGGUAUUCCGGUAGACGAUGGGGAUGCGUUCCAUUAGGUAGUAGGCGGGGUAACGGCCCACCUAGCCUGCGAUGGAUAGGGGUUCUGAGAGGAAGGUCCCCCGCAUUGGAACUGAGACACGGUCCAAACUCCUACGGGAGGCAGCAGUGAGGAAUAUUGGUCAAUGGGCGAGAGCCUGAACCAGCCAAGUAGCGUGAAGGAUGAAGGUCCUACGGAUUGUGAACUUCUUUUAUACGGGAAUAAAGUUUCCUACGUGUAGGAUUUUGUAUGUACCGUAUGAAUAAGCAUCGGCUAACUCCGUGCCAGCAGCCGCGGUAAUACGGAGGAUGCGAGCGUUAUCCGGAUUUAUUGGGUUUAAAGGGAGCGCAGACGGGAGAUUAAGUCAGUUGUGAAAGUUUGCGGCUCAACCGUAAAAUUGCAGUUGAUACUGGUUUCCUUGAGUGCAGUUGAGGCAGGCGGAAUUCGUGGUGUAGCGGUGAAAUGCUUAGAUAUCACGAAGAACUCCGAUUG